AUAAUAUUAGAACACUUUAUAUAAGAAUGAAGUUAUUGUACAUUUAUGAUGUGAUGUGCAAUUUUCUUUCUAAAUCAAUGUAAAAUUCUUUUAUUUCAUUUUCUUUCUCUUCAAAAGUUUGAUUUACUUUUUCACACUUUUCACUCAUAUCAUUAACAAAUUUUUCCCAUUCUACUUUCCUUGCUUCUCUAUUUGCUUGCAAUGCUACAUCCUAAAAAAAUUAUUGGAUGUCCAAAUUAAUGACAAAUGUGAGAUAUUUCUAAAGAUUUAAUCGAAAUCUUGAAAUGAAAAUGAUCCAUACACUAUCAAAAUCUUGUUCUUUUUGAAGAACUCUUUCACACAUACUUAGGGCAACAUCAACAUUUGCUUUUAAGCUAGGUAAAUGACAAUCCCCAAGUUGUUCUGUUCGAUCGAGUUGACUUUCUUUUAAAUCUGUCGAAUAUUCAAGUAUUUUGAAGAGUCGUUCCACUUCUCGAUCGUCUCUUUUUUCCUAUAAAUUUUUUUUGGUUGUCGAAUUAUAGG